rnacentral:lncRNA from 1 species
GUAUGUCGUGAUAUAUCUGACCAUGUGCUUGAAAGGUGUAAAUACCACCAGAUGUUCGCAUGUCUCCAGAUGCUUUGGAUCUGAUCGACUAUUACCAAAUGAGCGUAUGUCGUGAUAUAUCUGACCAUGUGCUUGAAAGGUGUAAAUACCACCAGAUGUUCGCAUGUCAGUUGUGUCUCUGUCAAGAUGGCAAUAUAGAGUAGUAAACGAGAAGUGGCCAUUGAAAAAUCUUAUAUUGUUUCGAAAAUGUCUUGCGUCAGAGUCGUUGCUUGUCCGAAGUCUCAUGAGUUCAGGUGGUGUAUCUGCAUUGGCUAGUCUUAUCUGUCCUUUUCUGCGGCAUAAUCCCUUAGUUUCAUACUUGAAUUUUUUUGCAUGGCAGAAUCUGCAAUUUCCUUCCGUUUUGAGCACGUGUUUUUUUGGGUAUGUUGCUAUAGACGAAAUCAUAAGGAUCAGGGUUGUGUAUUUCCUCGCCUUAUUUGAUUUCAAUUUCCACUUCUCUGUCCCAUUCUAGUUUGGUUUGUAGCAUAAAAGUUAGUACAAAAGCAAUAUAAUGAUUAAAAUAUAUUUAAAUUCUAUUGAGCAUACCUUGACCAGAGAACAUGUAUUCGUCCUCAUUUAUGUCCUCUUCAAAUAUGACUUCAUUAUUACCUGUGUUGCAAUUUUUUAUUGUAUAAUAUAUUUCUUUGGAUUUCAUAAGAACAUAUAUGGAAUUGAUGACCUUACCUUGAUCGUGAUUAUUGAUUGAUUGUGUUGGUGUAUCUACUUCUUUCAUGGUUGCAUCAUGCUCACAUAUAAUCUCAUCCUUACCUGUGUAGUAAUUAAUUAUAUAUAUAUAUAUGUAAUUUUUGUAUUGCAUAAAAAUAUAUAGGAAAUUUUAUAACCUUACCAUGAACAUCAUUGUAUAAUGUUUGUAUUCGUGCAUCUACUUCUUUGAUUGCUAG